GCGCCAAAAAGUUUCCCAAAAGUUGUCUUGUGAACCCCACCCAUUUAAGAGUUGAUUCCCGCCCACCGUGCGCACUCAGGACAAACUUAAUUUCUCUCGUAAUGUACUGUCAUGGGACUGAUCCAGUGCAGCACACAACCAUGGUUAUUAGUCUACUCUCUACAGAAGUGGUAGCUAGCAGACGGGUUUGCUUUAGUCACAAGUGUGUAGGCACUGACACUUCAAUUUACAACUUCGCAGAACUACGUCUAGUAGGUAUACCCAGACCAAGGAGAAUGAACUCAUUUCGGGGAAAUGCAACUCUUGGACGGGACCCUGACAACUGCAGGUUUACUGUGGAGGGUUGUCCCAGCGGAGAGUCGCCGUUCCUUCUUGAUCUGAAUACCAGGAAAAUACUUCACUCAUCCGAGUAUGCGCGGUGUAACAGCCGGCCACCACCCGAGGGCGCUGGGUCGGUGACUGUCUCCGAGUCAGAGAGAAGGGACGGCAAAGGAAGCUUUUGCCAACAAUGUCAAAUUAAUGUGACUGAGCUGAAGAGGCAAGCGCUGGCCUUGGCAGACCCAAGUUCACUAACGAUUUGUGAAUACAUGUUUAACUUUACUUUGAGUCUCAAGGCUGGUUGUAUUUGACCCGUAAUGCUCGGUUUGCAUGACAAGGACAGACUGCCUUGGUUCCAACUUCCACUCAUUUAUUGCAGGGGAUAUAGGGGCACAGAUGGCAUGCUCAGAAUAAAGCGUGCUUCCACCUUCCUCCCAGUGUAGAUAGCUGUAGGCAUGCAGUGUGAUUCUGCAUGUUUCUGACUAUGUCCUGUGUCAUGACCCAUGCUCCAGCUUUGCCUUGUGGUCCUCAUCACUGAUGGGCACCCCUCUGAUGGUUUUAUGUUUGUACUCACUGCCAAUGUGCCUAUGAGAUAGUCCAGUGCAAUGGGUACACAUGGCUGUAAGACUUGUGAGCUCUGUAUUCCCAGCAUGUAGUAGCUGUUGCUCAGGCUGUGUUGAUUGUCAAGCAAAUAGCUGUUGGUCUCACGGUAAAUGACCGUUAAUUUAAAACACAUCCUGCCUUCCACACAGCCUACAAGCAAUUUAAAAAGUCGAAUAAAUCCCUGUAAUAUAACCUACACCAAUAAAUCCAUUAUUUAUUUGAGACAGUUCUAAAGAAGCAUAAUAUGAAGAAAAUGUAGUCUAUUUCCGAAUAAAAAAAUAGCUAUCCUUAUGUUAGGUCCUGAUGUGGCUAUGCCAAAUGGCUGUGGGCUACACUAGUUCAUUUAGCAGACAAGAUUUGCUUAUAAUUCCGUGGCAUUAUUUUUUAUUAUGUUAUAGUAUGAAGAAUACAAUUGCACAAAGCUGAAUAAAAUGUAGAUAUUUUCUCCAAAUUAUUUGAGGGAGUGCGCACAGAAAUAUGUACCCCUAUAUGCUUAUUUUAGAGUUAUUAAUGUACCUUUAGUUCUACAAAGAAUGUCAUAUGUAGCUAUAUGUUUCGAUUUUUAAUACAUCGUAAGGCUGCAUGAUGAGACUAAUGAUGAUUUUGAAAAGUUGCUUGAAAGGCACGAGCUCUGCUUUGUUUUUUUUGUGCAGGCUGUACACACUCCAAUAGUCACUCAUCCACAAUUUGACAAGCAUGCCUUGAUAAUGCCUCGAAAUUCAUGGCGGUAUCCCCUUCGUGGCAGUAAUGCACCCUAAAAAAAUCCAUUCAUUUUGUGGCCAGAGUGCUGUGUUGUGCCCUUCUCGCUGAGAGUGCUGCGCAAUCCGAAGCGUCUCUCACUCACAUGGCUCUCCGUCACGUUGUAACGGUUUUAACUUGAGGUUAUUAUUUAUAGGGGUGCCAGGUAGGUUGUGCCUACCAGAGAAAACAUUAGUUUCUCCUUUUGGUUUGGGAGGGAAUGAGUCCCAUCAAGUCUACACCAAUACAAAGGACUUAUGUAAAAGUCCGGAUGGAAAUAAACUUUUCAUAAACCCUUAAAACAUUGGAAAGAACUUCAAAAACAACUAUAUUCUUUUGCUUGGGUUGUAUUAGCAACAUCAAUGAUUACACACACAUACAAUAAUAUCACAAUGAGUUCUGGUUCUUCUAGCACUGUCCUGUACCUCGGGCCUAAAGAGAGUCCAGCCCGGUAAAGGAGUUCAGGGAACUCAAGUGACCUUUGUCACGCAAUGUUUGUCCAUUCAUUCAAGUGUAGCGUAAACCCAGUAUUAAAUCAUACAAUCAAUAUAAAUUAUUUUACCACAGAACUUUAAAGCGCAUCAACUCUUACUAAGUCCUCAACUACAACUAACUACAUAAAUCAUCAAAACAAAUGAAAUACCGUAUACAAAAAAGUGGUGGUCAGUCAGACAAUCCAAUCCGCCAAUAGAUCUCCAGCGGAGAAAGGCCACGAAGAACGGAGAGGUGUAGUCCACGGACGCAAAGAUUGGAUCCGAUCCUGGGUAAACUCUAUUAGCCUACAAAACACACGGAAUAGAGAAGCUUCGGAACUGAGGGUUGAACACAUCCUCAUUCACGUCUCCAUCACAACCCCACUUUUGCGCAGCUGAUGCUGGCUAUUUAAUUGGGAAUUAAAGGGAAAGCGCCCUAUUGGAAGGAGAAGCACUGAGACGGUUCAGAAAAAUUCAGGGCCGUCACAACGUGAUUGGGUCUUUCUCACAUGCUUACAAGUCAGACACAUCCGGGACGCAACUAUGCGUGUCCUUAUCCAAUUCCGAGGUGCAUACUGAAGAUAUUGGAAAAACUGUCCACAUUUACUUUUCGUCAGCCAACAAGAUGAGUAGGCCUAAGGAACAGCAAAAGCACUAGCCUAUGUCAAUCUAAUAUCCUCCAUUUGGGAAAUUCUUAUACAGGGACACUCAAACUAAAUCUUAAAUGAAUCAUCCUUAUCUGUCAGGCACUGGAGAGGUUCCAACCAACUCAAUGUACACAUCAAUCAGGAGCUCUGCUUUGGCAGUCAUCUUAUAUAAGGCUAUACACAGACAAGUUAUAUAUUUGCAUGAUUUAUCAUAAUUAAUUAAUCAUUACUGUUUUGUUUCAUUCAUGUGACCGACCAAUACUGGUUCAUAACAUGUGACAGACCAAUAACUAACGAGGCCAGCAUCAGAGCUUGGAGAAACCUAAAUACGGUGACUCAACGGUCAUGUUGAAUUUGACUGCCUUCAUGAUUCGUGACCGCUGGUGUGUCGGUAAUACGGUCACUGCAACAGCCCUAGCUGUGGCUAUAACUCCCCAUACCAACACACCUUAUUAUAGAGCUGCUUUUGUCCUCUGGUUGGGUGUAGAGGUAAUAUAUAUCAAGUCCUUCUCCAAUGUAGAUACUGGAGUCAUGAGAGGCUGUGGGGUAAUGACUUCAAUUAUAAUGUCCCAGUCUUCCUGUGAAGUCUUUUAUUUCUCUGCUCACGGCCACACGCUGUUUAUGGAUGUGAAAUCUCAGCGUCUGAGACUGAAAGAUGUUUGGAAGUGGUUCAUUGUUAUGCUAAACA
ensembl:lncRNA